rnacentral:rRNA from 1 species
UACGGAGGAUGCAAGCGUUAUCCGGAAUUAUUGGGCGUAAAGCGUCCGCAGGUGGUACACCAAGUCUGCUGUCAAAGACCAGGGCUUAACUCUGGAAAGGCAGAAGAAACUGGUGAACUAGAGUACGGUAGGGGUAGAGGGAAUUCCCAGUGUAGCGGUGAAAUGCGUAGAGAUUGGGAAGAACACCAGUGGCGAAGGCGCUCUACUGGACCUGUACUGACACUCAGGGACGAAAGCUAGGGUAGCGAAAGGG